rnacentral:rRNA from 1 species
CCAAUAGCGUAUAUUAAAGUUGUCGCAGUUAAAAAGCUCGUAGUUGAAUUUCGGGAUCAAUAUGUCGGUCGUGCCUUCGGUACGUACUGGUAUCAUUGGUCUCUCCUUUCUGACGAACCAUGAUGUCAUUAAUUUGGUGUUAUGGGGAGUUAGGACUGUUACUUUGAAAAAAUUAGAGUGUUUAAAGCAGGCUUUAGCUUGAAUACAUUAGCAUGGAAUAAUGAAAUAGGACGUUCGAACCUAUUUUGUUGGUUUCUAGGAUCAACGUAAUGAUUAAUAGGGAUAGUUGGGGGCAUUAGUAUUCAAUUGUCAGAGGUGAAAUUCUUGGAUUUAUUGAAGACUAACUACUGCGAAAGCAUUUGCCAAGGAUGUUUUCAUUAAUCAAGAACGAAAGUUAGGGGAUCGAAGACGAUCAGAUACCGUCGUAGUCUUAACCAUAAACUAUGCCGACUAGGGAUCGGAUGAUGUUAAUUUUUUAAUGACUCAUUCGGCGCCUUACG